CAGAUAGGUAGUCAAAACUCAUGUCCUAGUUAGGACAACUGAGACCAGUUCAUCAUGGUAUGGGUGUAACUCAAAACUGUGUAUUCUAUAACCUUCCAUGCCAUUUCCCAGAAAUUGUUAGCAGUAGAGGCCUGUAGAUGUUCCUGUCCUGAUACCCUUUUAUGGAAUUCCCCGCUCUGAGGGAAGGACUGAGCAUCCUCAUACCCUUUUAUGGAAUUCCCCGCUCUGAGGGGAGGACUGAGCAUUCCUGCCUGAAACGGAGAAUAUAGAAACUUGGAGUUUUGGAACCUUUUUACCACUCGUGGGAUCCAGAGGAAGACUGCAGCUCACUGCUCUCAACCGGACUGCAGCUCACAGCUCUCCCAGACUGCAACAGCUCUCCCACCAGCAGAGCAUCUAUGUGCCUUUUCAGUGAAAAGAUGAGAUUCCUCUUAGUGACUACAGAUGCAGUCCAGUAAGAUGUGGAUGAACAUUUGAAAUGACCAGGCUUCUGCAUUAUAUACACCAACACCAACUAAGACAGAAAUAAAUGCAGUAUUUUCUUGUUCUCUCCCUUUUUUCUUUAUUGAUUUAGUCUCUUUCACAGCAAUACUGCCUUGUAAUCGUGCAAGCGUGAGAUUUUUGCAGGUUUUCUAAUAGCCAUAUCUCCCCAGCUUUUGUCUGUGCCUUCUUCCUGCUAACACUUUAAUUGUCAAAAAGGCAUCUUCCACCUUCAUUUCUCUAUGAGUUUCAGGGCAGAGCUGCUGUAUUCCCCCCAAAGGAUCUACAUUUAAGUAGUCUUUGUGCUCAGACUCUGAAACACAGUUGUUUUAAUUGUUUGUUAAAAAAAUAACACCAUGCCACCAAAAUAAAA